GGGAGCCGCUGGCCGGGGCUUCCCUUCCCCCCUCCCCCUCACGGACUCCUGCUUCCCCCGAGACGCCCGGAGCCCGAGGACUCACCCGGCGGCGGAGACCUGAGUGGGCUCCCUCCGCCCCCGCGAAGCCUGCACGGCCGCCGGUGAAUCAAAAAGGGUCCCAGGAAACCUGUGAAUGUUGAAGAAAAUUCGUCUGUGAAUUUUUGGUAUUCAAGGAGGAGUCAGUAUUUAUAUUCAUCUUUUAAACUGGGAAGAUUUAUAUUUUAUUUUAAAACUUCUUGAUAUUUACAAUGAAUGGACACAGUGAUGAAGAAAGUGUUAGAAACAGUAGUGGAGAAUCAAGAAAUUGAUAAAAGAAACCUUAACUAAAUUGGAAUCAGGAAGGCCUGUAGUGGGAGCUCUCACACCCUCUCACGUAUUGUCAAUUACACCAAACAGGAAGUGACAGAGACUUGUGUCUUGGACAUGAAGUAAAACUGCUUUAUUACUGAAGCAAGAUUUCUUUUUCCACCUGACAACAUCCUAGCCAAUGAGAAACAUC